rnacentral:rRNA from 1 species
ACAGAGAUAGCUUGCUAUCUGCUGACGAGCGGCGGACGGGUGAGUAAUGCUUGGGAAUAUGCCUUAUGGUGGGGGACAACAGUUGGAAACGACUGCUAAUACCGCAUAACGUCUACGGACCAAAGGGGGGGAUGCUUCGGCACCUCCCGCCAUUUGAUUAGCCCAAGUGAGAUUAGCUAGUAGGUGAGGUAAGAGCUCACCUAGGCGACGAUCUCUAGCUGGUUUGAGAGGAUGAUCAGCCACACUGGGACUGAGACACGGCCCAGACUCCUACGGGAGGCAGCAGUGGGGAAUAUUGCACAAUGGGCGAAAGCCUGAUGCAGCCAUGCCGCGUGUGUGAAGAAGGCCUUCGGGUUGUAAAGCACUUUCAGCGAGGAGGAAAGGUUAGUGGUUAAUAGCCACUAGCUGUGACGUUACUCGCAGAAGAAGCACCGGCUAACUUCGUGCCAGCAGCCGCGGUAAUACGAGGGGUGCAAGCGUUAAUCGGAAUUACUGGGCGUAAAGCGUGCGUAGGUGGUUUGUUAAGCAAGAUGUGAAAGCCCUGGGCUCAACCUGGGAACUGCAUUUUGAACUGGCAAGCUAGAGUUUUGUAGAGGGUAGUGGAAUUUCCAGUGUAGCGGUGAAAUGCGUAGAGAUUGGAAGGAACAUCAGUGGCGA